GACGAACGCUGGCGGCGUGCCUAAUACAUGCAAGUCGAACGCAGUGGGUACGGGUGAGUAACACGUGGGUAACCUCCCAUCAGAGGGGAUACCGCUUGGAAACAGGUGUUACACCGAUACUAAUGGCUGGCCCCGCGGUGCAUUAGCUAGUUUGUGAGGUAACGGCUCACCAAGGCAACGAUGCAUAGCCGGCCUGAGAGGGUGAGCGGCCACACGGGGACUGAGACACGGCCCAGACUCCUACGUGAGGCAGCAGUGGGGAAUAUUGUGCAAUGGACGAAAGUCUGACCGAGCAACGCCGCGUGAGUGAAGAAGGUUUUCGGAUUGUAAAACUCUGUUGGUAGGGAAGCGGUAUCUAACCAGGAAGCCACGGCUAACUACGUGCCAGCCGCCGCGGUAAUUC
rnacentral:rRNA from 1 species